CACAGACAGACCUGCCAUUAGGAGCGUUUCAGACCAAAACUCAGCUGCUCUGAACAGCAGUAAUUAGAUCAGCAGACCGUGAGGUCUGCUUUCUGUUCUUUUCACACCUGUCUGCCAAUAGCAGGGUUACUGGGUAAAGGAAGAUCUUAGCUGUGCCCAGACUGACUUUGAUCCCAAGAGCACUCCCUGAUAAACCCUCUGCACUGCCCGCUGAUCUCGCCUCAGUCUGGCCUAUGGGCAUAGAGCAGGCACCCCACAGAUGUUUGAUUAGCCCUGAGCUAACUACUGUGAAUCCUCCUCUUUUUGCUGAGGAAGACUGGCCCUGAGCUAACAUCCAUGCCCAUUUUCCUCUAAUUUAUAUGUGGGAUGCCUACCACAGCAUGGUUUUUGCCAAGGGGUGCCAUGUCUGCACCCAGGAUCUAAACCAGUGAACCCUGGGCCGCCAAGAAACGGGACGUGAGAACUUAACCGCUGUGCCACUGGGCCAGCCCCUGUAACAUAAGUUUUUAAUACACAGCUGAGCUCAAAAGAAAAAAAGGGAAACUCCCAAGUUCCAGAAAAGAAGACGGAACUCAAAGCCAGAAUGUCAAAAGGAAGAACCCCUAAAAGACUUCAUAUUCCAGGUGGUGCAACUAUUGGGUGAUGGAGCCUCUGUUUUCCUGGGCUCCUGAGUGACCGUGUGGAGUGGACCCCACCAACAUCCUUGAUGUUGACAUAGGAAUGAAGAAGCAGAGUGAAUCUCAAACAUAAUAAAUAAAAAGUUAAUCCAUACCUCGAUAAUGGAAUGCCUUAAAAUAAAAUCCUUUAACAGAAGAAAAGCGGCUAAGGAGACAAGAUACAUUACCUGCAAAAGAAAGACAAUUAGACUGACAUCAGAAAAAUACAUUCCAAGGACUGGGAGAAAAUAGGUGCUACCUAGAAUUCAGUGCCCAUCUAAAUCAUCAUUUGAGGAUGAGAGCAAAAUAAAGAUAUUUUACAAAAAGACUGAAUUUACCAUCUGCAAACUCUGACAGAAGAACGACUAAAGGAUGUGUUUCUGAAAGAGGGAAAUUGAACCAAGAAGGAAGGAGUGGGAUAUGAAAGCAAUGAUGAGAAAAACGAAGGUGAACAUAUGAGUAGAACUAAAUAUUCAGCUACAACAAUAACAAGGACCAUGACUAGUGGGAGUGUUAAAACUACUCUCUAAGUGGGGAAACUACUUAGUUACAGCAAUGUGAAGGAAAGGAGUAGAGAUCAGAGUUACUGCCUUCUGAGGCUCUUACACUGUUUGGUGACUGCAUGUAAAUGUUGAUUAAACAUAGGCUUCACUAAAUAGAGUGUGCGUUUUAAAGAUUUAAAGAUUAUCUCUAAAAGAGUAGAAUUUGAAUGUAGAACUGCCGAACGGGUAGAGGGGAGGGGAAGAAAGAAAAAGCUUGAUUAAACCAAUGGAAGACGAUGAGAAAAAGAGAAAUAAAGAACAUGGUCAGCAGAGAAACACCAAAUGAGAUGAUAGAAACAAAUCAAAAUAUAUUAUCAAUUGCAAUUACUGUAAACACAUUAUUUUGCCAGUUAAAAGAGAAAGAUUCUCAAAUUGCAUUUAAACAGACACACACCCCAAUCAUAUAUACUAUUUAUAAGAGACCCAACUAAAACAUGACAUGAACAGUUGAAACUAAAGGAACAGAGAAGACAUGCCCAGAGAUGCCAUUUUGGGUAUGGGCCUUAGAGGGCAAUUCUCACACAUUGCAGGAGGAGGGAUGUUCGAGGAUGUUUAUCAGAGUGUUGUUUGUAGUAAUGAAAGACUGGAAACAGCAUAAACAUCCAUUGGUAUAGGGAUGAAAAAAUAAAUUUUAGCAUAUAUAUAUAAUAAAACACUGUAUAACAGAAAAAUGACUGAACUAGAUCAAAUGGGCCAAGAUGGACACAUAUUAAAAGCAUAAUGUUAGAGGGAAAAACGAGCUGCAGAAGGAGAUCACCAUACAAUAUCACGGAUUAGUUUUCUUAAAGGGAACUUUAUUGAAGAAUAAUGUACACACAUAAAAAUGUACAAAGCAUAGUGAAUAGUUCAACGAAGUUUCACAAAGUGACACCCUUGUAACCAUCAGCCAGAUUAAGAAAUAGAACAUUACCAAGCAUCCCAGAAGACCCCACUGGCUCUCGUCCAGGUGUUACACCCUCCCAAGGGAACUACUAUCAUAACCUCUAACCCUACAGAUUGGUUUUGCCUAUUUCUGAAAUUUAUAUACAUGAGAUCAUACAUGCAGAAAGUGUGCACUCAUUUGUGUCUGGCCUCUUUAAUUCCAUAGUAUGUUUGUGAGAUGCAUCCUUAUUGAAGCGUGUAGCUCUAGUUUAUUCAUUCUCUUUGCUGUGCUGGGAUUCCAUCGUAUGAAUAUGCCAUGAUUAAUUUGUGCACGGUAUGGGAGAUGUUCAUUUGGGAUUUUUUUAGUUUGGGGCAAUUAUGAGCAGUUCUUCUCUGAUCAAUCUUGGACUUUUCUUUUGGUGUACAUGGGCAUCCAUCUCUCUCGGGUAUAUACUCAGCAAUUGCUGGGUCAGGGGUAUGCAUACUUGUAGCUUUAGUGGAGAAUCUUGAAUAGUUCCCCAAAUUGGUUUUACCACUUUACUUCCCUCGCAGUGUAGGAGAGUUCCAGUUACUCUGCAUCUUAUUCACACUUGAUAUUUUAGUCUUUUUAACUUUAGUUAUUCUGGUUGUUGAUGGUGUGAACUUUAAAACACACUCAUACACAAAUACUGUACACUGCCUAUGGGUAUAUAUAUAUACACAGUAAAAAUAUAAAGACAUGAAGGAGGAGAAUAUAGACCAACCUUAGGAUAGUGAUUGCCUCAAGGCAAAGGGGAACACCUGAUGGUAGAGGGAUAAAAUGGAAGGCUUCAACUGUAUUUAUAAUGUUAAUUUUUAAACAUGGGAAAGAAACAUGGUGAAACAUUUUCAGAACGAGGUGGGAAAUGUAUAUGUUAUUUUUCUCCAUAUUACUUGUGUUUAACAAAUACUGUAAUUAAAUUUUUUUUAUUUACGAAAAAUAUUCUUAAAGGAAAAAAUAGUCAUUCCACAGGGAAGCAAACAAAUGCACAGUGUAUCUUGUUAUAAACACAGCACUUGAGCCAUGCCUAAUAGACCAGACAUUCCACUU
rnacentral:lncRNA from 1 species